GACAUGUAGUGAAGGGAAACUAGUGAUGUGUCGGUCGCGAACGAUCCGGCUCUAAGAGCCGGCUCUUUGAAGUGAACGAUUGGAACCGGCUCCACAAUGGGAGCCGUUUUAGGAUCCUAUUUUGGAGCCGGGUUUUUUUCUACAGUAUAUCGCUGUCUCUCUGCCUCCCUGUCGUUGUGCUUGUGCUCUGCAAGUGCCAGAGCCGAUAGUUUUUCCCCACAUCGUUUUUUUUUUGUCCUGCGGUGCCUGGCUGUCUCCCCCCCCUUUUCCUCCCCCUUCUCCCACUCCUUCCGCGUUUUGCUCUCCUGCCAGUGCCAGAGCGGAGAGUUUUUUUCCCUCGGUCGGUCCACUGCCCUCAUGUCAAGCGUGUGCUCCACACAUCUGACCAAUCACACAUAACACUGAAUAUUAUUUGAUAUUUGUAUUGUGGCACCUUUUCUGUUAUGAAGCUGCUUUGAUACUUUUUCGUAUUGUGGUGGGUGUUUGUAUUAAUAUUUAACUGUUUGUUAUUUUAAGUUAUUUUUGUGGAAGUGGUGCUAUUUUGUGAUAAUUUAAUUGGUUAUAAUAAAAGGUUUAUUUAUAAAGCA